GACGAACGCUGGCGGCGUGCUUAACACAUGCAAGUCGAACGGAAAGGCCCUGCUUGCAGGGUACUCGAGUGGCGAACGGGUGAGUAACACGUGGGUGAUCUGCCCUGCACUUCGGGUUAAGCCUGGGAAACUGGGUCUAAUACCGGAUAGGAGCCAUUUUUAGUGUGAUGGUUGGAAAGUUUUUUCGGUGUAGGAUGAGCUCGCGGCCUAUCAGCUUGUUGGUGGGGUAAUGGCCUACCAAGGCGGCGACGGGUAGCCGGCCUGAGAGGGUGGACGGCCACCUUGGGACUGAGAUACGGCCCAGACUCCUACGGGAGGCAGCAGUGGGGAAUAUUGCACAAUGGGCGCAAGCCUGAUGCAGCGACGCCGCGUGGGGGAUGACGGCCUUCGGGUUGUAAACUCCUUUCGCUAGGGACGAAGCUUUUUGUGACGGUACCUAGAUAAGAAGCACCGGCUAACUACGUG
rnacentral:rRNA from 1 species